GCGCUGUCUGUCCAGAUUCUAAAGUUGCAGAGAAACUGUUUAUAUAUGAGCAGAACUAAAGCUAGAGCAAUUAUCGUUAAUGUAACUGGAGAAACUGCGCAAAAAAACCUGAUAGAGAAUUUAAGAGAAAAUAACUUUUCUUUGCUUGUGGAUGAAAGUACGGACAAAUCUACCAUUAAUCAUUUGGCGUUGAUUGUAAGAACAGUGGACGAUAAUUUUCAAGUUGAAGACCGAUUUCUUACACUGAUACCCAUUGAAGAUGGAACAGCAACAGCGUUGCAUGGUAAAAUCAUAGAGUAUUUUACCGAGAAAAACAAACCUUACAAAACCAAUAUGUAAGGCUAUGCAUCUGAUGGUGCUAACGUUAUGUUUGGUGUCACCAGAGAAUGAUUUCUCUGGUAACACUUUUAAAAAAUGAUAUACCUCAUCUUUUUGCGAAAAAGUGCAUAUGACAUUCAUUUAGCCUGUGUGCCUCGUAUGCAUGCGAAAAAUUGCCAAAAGGUGUAGAAGACUUCUGUAGAGAAGUAUUUAAUCAUAUACAGAAUUCUCCAAAACGUAUAGGCGACUAUAAAACAUUUCAAGCGUUCGCAAACAUUAAGCCACACAAGCUGCUUCACCUUAGCCAAACAAGCUGGUUGUCACUUAUUCAGGUCGUUAACAGGAUUCUAGAACAAUUGCCGGCCAUAAAAAUAUAUUUUCAAGCGGCUGUCCAUGUGGAUCGCUUACUUUCUGCUUAAGCAAUUCUCAACAAGGCCCCCGAACCAACCACAGAGCUUUAUCUAGAACUUUUGAAAUUUGCGUUGCCCAUAUUUACAGAACUCAACAAAGAAAUGCAAUCGGAAACACCAAAAGUAUAUUUACUUUAUGAAAAAGUUUUAACUGCUUACACAAUAUUGUCGGAGUGCUUCGUUAAAGCCGAAUAUUUGGACCUCACGGUAUUUUAUCAGAUUUGA